AGGAAAUUAGUUUAAGAAAAACCUUUGAUUUCGACUCAAAAACUUGUGGUUAAAGUCCAUAAUUACCUA
rnacentral:tRNA from 1 species